rnacentral:rRNA from 1 species
ACCAUGCACCGAAGCUGCGGCAGCGAACGUAUCACUUAAAGCGAUUCAGCGGGUUACGAUUGACGGAGCGAAGCGACGUCAAAGCGUAUACAAAGUCGAGUCGGUUUAAGGAUACGUUCGUUGGGUAGGGGAGCGUUCUGUAAGCCUGCGAAGGUGGCCUGUGAGGGUUGCUGGAGGUAUCAGAAGUGCGAAUGCUGACAUAAGUAACGAUAAAGCGGGUGAAAAGCCCGCUCGCCGGAAGACCAAGGGUUCCUGUCCAACGUUAAUCGGGGCAGGGUGAGUCGACCCCUAAGGCGAGGCCGAAAGGCGUAGUCGAUGGGAAACGGGUUAAUAUUCCCGUACUUGGUGUUACUGCGAAGGGGGGACGGAGAAGGCUAUGUUGGCCGGGCGACGGUUGUCCCGGUUUAAGCGUGUAGGUGUGUGUUCCAGGUAAAUCCGGUUCACUUUAACACUGAGGCGUGACGACGAGGCACUACGGUGCUGAAGCAACAAAUGCCCUGCUUCCAGGAAAAGCCUCUAAGCAUCAGGUAACAUCAAAUCGUACCCCAAACCGACACAGGUGGUCAGGUAGAGAAUACCAAGGCGCUUGAGAGAACUCGGGUGAAGGAACUAGGCAAAAUGGUGCCGUAACUUCGGGAGAAGGCACGCUGACACGUAGGUGAAGUGAUUUACUCAUGGAGCUGAAGUCAGUCGAAGAUACCAGCUGGCUGCAACUGUUUAUUAAAAACACAGCACUGUGCAAACACGAAAGUGGACGUAUACGGUGUGACGCCUGCCCGGUGCCGGAAGGUUAAUUGAUGGGGUCAGCGCAAGCGAAGCUCCUGAUCGAAGCCCCGGUAAACGGCGGCCGUAACUAUAACGGUCCUAAGGUAGCGAAAUUCCUUGUCGGGUAAGUUCCGACCUGCACGAAUGGCGUAAUGAUGGCCAGGCUGUCUCCACCCGAGACUCAGUGAAAUUGAACUCGCUGUGAAGAUGCAGUGUACCCGCGGCAAGACGGAAAGACCCCGUGAACCUUUACUAUAGCUUGACACUGAACAUUGAGCCUUGAUGUGUAGGAUAGGUGGGAGGCUUUGAAGUGUGGACGCCAGUCUGCAUGGAGCCGACCUUGAAAUACCACCCUUUAAUGUUUGAUGUUCUAACGUGGACCCGUAAUCCGGGUUGCGGACAGUGUCUGGUGGGUAGUUUGACUGGGGCGGUCUCCUCCUAAAGAGUAACGGAGGAGCACGAAGGUUGGCUAAUCCUGGUCGGACAUCAGGAGGUUAGUGCAAUGGCAUAAGCCAGCUUGACUGCGAGCGUGACGGCGCGAGCAGGUGCGAAAGCAGGUCAUAGUGAUCCGGUGGUUCUGAAUGGAAGGGCCAUCGCUCAACGGAUAAAAGGUACUCCGGGGAUAACAGGCUGAUACCGCCCAAGAGUUCAUAUCGACGGCGGUGUUUGGCACCUCGAUGUCGGCUCAUCACAUCCUGGGGCUGAAGUAGGUCCCAAGGGUAUGGCUGUUCGCCAUUUAAAGUGGUACGCGAGCUGGGUUUAGAACGUCGUGAGACAGUUCGGUCCCUAUCUGCCGUGGGCGCUGGAG